GAUGAACGCUGGCGGCGUGCUUAACACAUGCAAGUCGAACGAAGCACUUUAUUUGAUUUCCUUCGGGACUGAUUAUUUUGUGACUGAGUGGCGGACGGGUGAGUAACGCGUGGGUAACCUGCCUUGUACAGGGGGAUAACAGUUGGAAACGGCUGCUAAUACCGCAUAAGCGCACAGCAUCGCAUGAUGCAGUGUGAAAAACUCCGGUGGUAUAAGAUGGACCCGCGUUGGAUUAGCUAGUUGGUGAGGUAACGGCCCACCAAGGCGACGAUCCAUAGCCGACCUGAGAGGGUGACCGGCCACAUUGGGACUGAGACACGGCCCAAACUCCUACGGGAGGCAGCAGUGGGGAAUAUUGCACAAUGGGCGAAAGCCUGAUGCAGCGACGCCGCGUGAGCGAAGAAGUAUUUCGGUAUGUAAAGCUCUAUCAGCAGGGAAGAUAAUGACGGUACCCGACUAAGAAGCACCGGCUAAAUACGUG
rnacentral:rRNA from 1 species